rnacentral:rRNA from 1 species
UACGGAGGGUGCGAGCGUUGUCCGGAAUCAUUGGGCGUAGAGGGCGCGUAGGUGGCGGGACAAGCGUGCGGUGAAAGCUCGGGGCUCAACCCCGAGUCGGCCGUGCGAACUGUUUUGCUGGAGCACUGUAGAGGCAGGCGGAAUUCCGGGUGUAGCGGUGGAAUGCGUAGAGAUCGGGUGGAACACCAGUGGCGAAGGCGGCAUCCUGGCCCUGACCUGACGCUGAGGCGCGAGAGCGUGGGGAGCAAACGGG